rnacentral:rRNA from 1 species
AGAUUGAACGCUGGCGGCAGGCAUAACACAUGCAAGUCGAGCGGUAGAGAGGUGCUUGCAUCUCUUGAGAGCGGCGGACGGGUGAGUAAUGCCUAGGAAUCUGCCUGGUAGUGGGGAUAACGCUCGGAAACGGCGCUAAUACCGCAUACGUCCUACGGGAGAAAGCGAGGGGACCUUCGGGCCUUGCGCUAUCAGAUGAGCCUAGGUCGAUUAGCUA